rnacentral:rRNA from 1 species
GACGAACGCUGGCGGCGUGCUUAACACAUGCAAGUCGAACGGAAAGGCCCUGCUUUUGUGGGGUGCUCGCGUGGCGAACGGGUGAGUAACACGUGAGUAACCUGCCCUUGACUUUGGGAUAACUUCAGGAAACUGGGGCUAAUACCGGAUAGGAGCUCCUGCUGCAUGGUGGGGGUUGGAAAGUUUCGGCGGUUGGGGAUGGACUCGCGGCUUAUCAGCUUGUUGGUGGGGUAGUGGCUUACCAAGGCUUUGACGGGUAGCCGGCCUGAGAGGGUGACCGGCCACAUUGGGACUGAGAUACGGCCCAGACUCCUACGGGAGGCAGCAGUGGGGAAUAUUGCACAAUGGGCGGAAGCCUGAUGCAGCAACGCCGCGUGCGGGAUGACGGCCUUCGGGUUGUAAACCGCUUUCGCCUGUGACGAAGCGUGAGUGACGGUAAUGGGUAAAGAAGCACCGGCUAACUACGUG